rnacentral:rRNA from 1 species
UACGUAUGGUGCAAGCGUUAUCCGGAUUUACUGGGUGUAAAGGGAGCGCAGGCGGCGCGUUAAGUCUGAUGUGAAAACCCGCGGCUCAACUGCGGGACUGCAUUGGAAACUGUGCGGCUGGAGUGUCGGAGAGGCAAGUGGAAUUCCUAGUGUAGCGGUGAAAUGCGUAGAUAUUAGGAGGAACACCAGUGGCGAAGGCGGCUUGCUGGACGACGACUGACGUUGAGGCUCGAAAGCGUGGGGAGCAAACAGG